UACAGAGGUCUCAAGCGUUGUUCGGAUUCAUUGGGCGUAAAGGGUGCGUAGGCGGCGCGGUAAGUCGGGUGUGAAAUCUUGGAGCUUAACUCCGAAACUGCAUUCGAUACUGCCGUGCUUGAGGACUGGAAAGGAGACUGGAAUUUACGGUGUAGCGGUGAAAUGCGUAGAUAUCGUAAGGAAGACCAGUGGCGAAGGCGGCCACCUGGACGGUAACUGACGCUGAGACGCGAAAGCGUGGGGAGCAAACAGG
rnacentral:rRNA from 1 species